rnacentral:rRNA from 1 species
UACAGAGAGUGCAAGCGUUAAUCGGAAUUACUGGGCGUAAAGCGCGCGUAGGUGGAUACUUAAGUCGGAUGUGAAAUCCCUGGGCUUAACCUAGGAAUUGCAUCUGAUACUGGGUAUCUCGAGUAUGGUAGAGGGAAGUGGAAUUUCCGGUGUAGCGGUGAAAUGCGUAGAUAUCGGAAAGAACACCAGUGGCGAAGGCGGCUUCCUGGACCAAUACUGACACUGAGGCGCGAAAGCGUGGGGAGCAAAC